AUUGAACGCUGGCGGCAUGCCUUACACAUGCAAGUCGAACGGUAACGGGCCUUCGGGUGCCGACGAGUGGCGAACGGGUGAGUAAUGUAUCGGAACGUACCUUUCAGUGGGGGAUAACGUAGCGAAAGUUACGCUAAUACCGCAUAUUCUGUGAGCAGGAAAGCAGGGGAUCGCAAGACCUUGCGCUGAUUGCGCGGCCGAUAUCAGAUUAGCUAGUUGGUGAGGUAACGGCUCACCAAGGCGACGAUCUGUAGCGGGUCUGAGAGGAUGAUCCGCCACACUGGAACAGAGACACGGUCCGGACUCCGACGGGAGGCAGCAGUGGGGAAGUGUGGACAAUGGGGGCAACCCUGAUCCAGCCAGGCCGCGUGAGUGAAGAAGGCCUUCGGGUUGUAAAGCUCUUUCGGCCGGGAAGAAAUCGUAUGGGUUAAUACCCUGUGCGGAUGACGGUACCGGCAUAAGAAGCACCGGCUAACUACGUGCCAGCCGCCGCCGUAACAC
rnacentral:rRNA from 1 species